UACGUAGGGUGCAAGCGUUGUCCGGAAUUAUUGGGCGUAAAGAGCUUGUAGGCGGGUUGUCGCGUCUGCGGGGAAAUUUCGGGGCUCAACCCCGAACUUGCAGUGGGUACGGGCAGACUAGAGUGUGGUAGGGGAGACUGGAAUUCCUGGUGUAGCGGUGAAAUGCGCAGAUAUCAGGAGGAACACCGAUGGCGAAGGCAGGUCUCUGGGCCAUAACUGACGCUGAGAAGCGAAAGCAUGGGGAGCGAACAGG
rnacentral:rRNA from 1 species